rnacentral:rRNA from 2 species
UUCCGGUUGAUCCCGCCGGACCUGACUGCUAUCGGAUUGAUACUAAGCCAUGCGAGUCUUUGUAGUAAUACAAGGCAGACGGCUCAGUAACACGUAGUCAACCUACCCUAUGGACAAGAAUAAUCUCGGGAAACUGGGCAUAAUUCUUGAUAGAUCAUAAUGCCUGGAAUGGUUUAUGGUUAAAAUGAUUCGUCGCCAUAGGAUGGGACUGCGGCCUAUCAGCUUGUUGGUGAGGUAAUGGCCCACCAAGGCGAUUACAGGUACGGGCUCUGAGAGGAGAAGCCCGGAGAUGGGUACUGAGACACGGACCCAGGCCCUAUGGGGCGCAGCAGGCGAGAAAACUUUGCAAUGUGCGAAAGCACGACAAGGUUAAUCCGAGUGAUUUCUGCUAAAGAAAUCUUUUGCCAGUCAUAAAACCACUGGUGAAUAAGGGGUGGGCAAGUUCUGGUGUCAGCCGCCGCGGUAAAACCAGCACCUCAAGUGGUCAGGAUGAUUAUUGGGCCUAAAGCAUCCGUAGCCGGCUUUGUAAGUUUUCGGUUAAAUCCAUGUGCUCAACGCAUGGGCUGCCGAAAAUACUGCAUGGCUAGGGAGUGGGAGAGGUAGACGGUACUCAGUAGGAAGGGGUAAAAUCCUUUGAUCUAUUGAUGACCACCUGUGGCGAAGGCGGUCUACCAGAACACGUUCGACGGUGAGGGAUGAAAGCUGGGGGAGCAAACCGGAUUAGAUACCCGGGUAGUCCCAGCUGUAAACGAUGCAGACUCGAUGAUGCAUUGGCAUAAUAGCCAGUGCAGUGUCGCAGGGAAGCCGUUAAGUCUGCCGCCUGGGAAGUACGUACGCAAGUAUGAAACUUAAAGGAAUUGGCGGGGGAGCACCACAAGGGGUGAAGCCUGCGGUUCAAUUGGAUUCAACGCCGGG